UGUGAGCGGUGGGUGGGGGCCAUAAAAAUAAUGAGGGGGGGACCUACUGUAUGAUGUUGUAUCGAUCAGGUAGUGUAAGGGUUACGCCCGCUUCACAGUGACAGACCAAACUCCCCAUUUAACGCACCGCAAACAACCGCAAACAGUCCAUUUGCACAACCGCAAACUCCCCAUUUGCACAAGGUUGGAUACCAAGCUAGCCAUGUCCUGUUCCUUGUCCUCACUGAUGUCAUUGAAGGUCUCUUCC